ACAAGUUCUAAGGAGAAGAGAAGUAUUCCCGAUUCUGGUAUCAUCUAACCCACAAGAAAAAAGGCUACCCACUAGCUUUCCGAUCAUUAUGGGUUCUUUUAUUGUUGAUUCUAUUACGUAUAUUGGGUAACGACAAUGGUAACUUGAGGUGCUUCAGGAAUAGAUAUGGCUAAGUUGAGGCAUCUCCAACCAAUGCGAGUGUAGAGGCGGUUGCAUUGUAUGGUAAUCCAAACGAAAAGGUGAAGCCUGUUGUUGAAAAACAAAAAAUCAACGACAAUGGGUAUUAAAAGUAAAUUUCUUUUGUCGUUUUCCUAUAACAUGGUUCCUGAUCGUUAGUUUUAAUCACUUAAGAUAAACAGGGAUCCGCCGUCAAAUUAAAUGAGUUAUGAAAAUACCGAUUCAUGUUUCAAACGGGUUGUAACAUGCUAUUUUAGAGAAUUUUAGAGAAUUCAUUUUUCAGUUUAGGGUAUUACUUUACCCAUUUGACCCUUCUACAACCAGAGCUGACCUGCUUCCAUAAUAAACCACUUAGUCACUUACCUCCUCUAAUUCUAGAUUGAGCAAGCCUAAUGCCUUGACUUCAUGUGGUUAUAUACCUGCUUCCAUAAUAAUGAGUUGAAUUUGCGACCUGUAACGUUCAUAUUCAAGACCUUUUUACAUACAUGAUUGAUAAAAUUCACAAUUAGUUACUUUUAGGCACUUUUCGACUACAUUGCAUCAAAAGUUGCUAUGACUGAUAUUAUUAGUGAUGUAAUUUGAUAGUAUGCUGUGGCGACUUUAGACAUACUUAUGACCCUAUAUCACUUGAACCACUUAGUCACUUACUACCUCUAAGUCUGAUUGAGCAAGCCUAAUGCCUUGACUUCAUGUGUUUAUAUGCUUUCAAAAAUUAAAAACGCGUUUGACAUGGUUGGAUUUACUAUUGGAUUUCAGUUACUCAUAUGUAGUUGCUUAUUUUUCUUUAAACUUUCAAUUUCUAUGUUGGAAAAGACGUGGUUGCAGGUUUGGGAACUGCAAUGAAAUGAUAAGGUGUUGAAAUGCCUGUUUCUUCACUGGUCAGAUCAUUUAGUUUUCUAAUCUUGCAUACGAAUUUAUAUUGUAUGAACAAAGUUUUCUUUCAAUGUGCAUUUAACUACAUACAUCACCUAUGUCCAUAAGACUACAUAUAGGUCUGCACAUAGUAAGCCAUAACUUAGAAUUCGAACUGCAUUUUUAUGAAGAGGGUUAACUAUUAUCCAGCUUUUAUGAACUUAUUCGAUCAUGUGCCAAAUACUUGCUUGGAUCAGGAGCCAUAUUGUAUAAGACGAGCAGCUGGUGCUAUUCCUUUCUCUUUAUUCAGUUUCACGGUUGUUGCUGUUUUGUUAAAUUUCGUAGUUAAAAAAAAUCAUUUUUGAA